rnacentral:rRNA from 1 species
UGGGGAAUAUUGCACAAUGGGCGCAAGCCUGAUGCAGCCAUGCCGCGUGUAUGAAGAAGGCCUUCGGGUUGUAAAGUACUUUCAGCGGGGAGGAAGGGAGUAAAGUUAAUACCUUUGCUCAUUGACGUUACCCGCAGAAGAAGCACCGGCUAACUCCGUGCCAGCAGCCGCGGUAAUACGGAGGGUGCAAGCGUUAAUCGGAAUUACUGGGCGUAAAGCGCACGCAGGCGGUUUGUUAAGUCAGAUGUGAAAUCCCCGGGCUCAACCUGGGAACUGCAUUUGAUACUGGCAAGCUUGAGUCUCGUAGAGGGGGGUAGAAUUCCAGGUGUAGCGGUGAAAUGCGUAGAGAUCUGGAGGAAUACCGGUGGCGAAGGCGGCCCCCUGGACAAAGACUGACGCUCAGGUGCGAAAGCGUGGGGAGCAAACAGG